UCUCCGUUGGUGAACCAGCGGAGGGAUCAUUACUGAGUGAGGGCCCCCGGCCCGACCUCCAACCCUUUGUGUAUCUCGACCCUGUUGCCUCGGGGGCGACCCUGCCGUUCGCGGCGUGGGGCCCCCGGAGCCCAUCAAACCCUGCGUAACUAAGUCGUCGGAGUUUAAACAAAUUAAACAAAACUUUCAACAACGGAUCUCUUGGUUCGGGCAUCGAUGAAGAACGCAGC
rnacentral:misc_RNA from 1 species